AUGAACGCUGGCGGCGUGCCUAAUACAUGCAAGUCGAGCGAACAGAUGAGGAGCUUGCUCCUCUGACGUUAGCGGCGGACGGGUGAGUAACACGUGGAUAACCUACCUAUAAGACUGGGAUAACUUCGGGAAACCGGAGCUAAUACCGGAUAAUAUAUUGAACCGCAUGGUUCAAUAGUGAAAGACGGUUUUGCUGUCACUUAUAGAUGGAUCCGCGCCGCAUUAGCUAGUUGGUAAGGUAACGGCUUACCAAGGCAACGAUGCGUAGCCGACCUGAGAGGGUGAUCGGCCACACUGGACCUGAGACACGGUCCAGACUCCUACGGGAGGCAGCAGUAGGGAAUCUUCCGCAAUGGGCGAAAGCCUGACGGAGCAACGCCGCGUGAGUGAUGAAGGUCUUCGGAUCGUAAAACUCUGUUAUUAGGGAAGAACAAAUGUGUAAGUAACUAUGCACGUCUUGACGGUACCUAAUCAGAAAGCCACGGCUAACUACGUG
rnacentral:rRNA from 1 species